AUUGAACGCUGGCGGCAUGCUUUACACAUGCAAGUCGAACGGUAACAGGCCUUCGGGUGCUGACGAGUGGCGAACGGGUGAGUAAUGCAUCGGAACGUGGCCCAAUCGUGGGGGAUAACGUAGCGAAAGUUACGCUAAUACCGCAUAAGCCCUGAGGGGGAAAGUGGGGGACCGCAAGGCCUCACGCGAAUGGAGCGGCCGAUGUCAGAUUAGCUAGUUGGUGGGGUAAAGGCCCACCAAGGCGACGAUCUGUAGCGGGUCUGAGAGGAUGAUCCGCCACACUGGGACUGAGACACGGCCCAGACUCCUACGGGAGGCAGCAGUUGGGGAAUUUUGGACAAUGGGCGCAAGCCUGAUCCAGCCAUGCCGCGUGCGGGACGAAGGCCUGCGGGUUGUAAAGCACUUUCAGUGGGGAAGAACAGAUUCGGGUCAAUACCCCGGAGCCCUGACGUUACCCACAGAAGAAGCACCGGCUAACUCCGUGCCAGCAGCCGCGGUAAAGUG
rnacentral:rRNA from 1 species